rnacentral:rRNA from 1 species
GAUGAACGCUGGUGGCGUGCCUAACACAUGCAAGUCGAGCGAUUCUCUUCGGAGAAGAUCGGCGGACGGGUGAGUAAUUCGGGGUUAACCUGCCCUGGACACACGACUAACAUACCGAAAGGUAUGCUAAUACGAGAUAACAUGCUUUUCUCGCGUGGAAGAAGUAUCAAAGCUUUGGCGGUACAGGAUGGACCCGCGUCUGAUUAGCUAGUUGGUGAGGUAACGGCUCACCAAGGCGACGAUCAGUAGCCGACCUGAGAGGGUGAUCGGCCACAUUGGAACUGAGACACGGUCCAAACUCCUACGGGAGGCAGCAGUGGGGAAUAUUGCACAAUGGGCGAAAGCCUGAUGCAGCGACGCCGCGUGAGCGAUGAAGGCUUUCGGGACGUAAAGCUCUGUCAUCAAGGAAGAUAAUGACGGUACUUGAGGAGGAAGCCCCGGCUAACUACGUG